CUGUAACUGAUAGCAAAUGCCUCGAAUGACAUAUUUCUACCGUUUGUGUGAUACGAGAAACGUUUUUCAGCAUGAAUUUCAAACAACCCAACGUGUAAUAUGAUUUUCACCUCCAGCAAACCAACCAAAAAAGAAAAAAAUGCCCAAACCUUUGCCAAAAUCUUCUGUUGUAUACCUAAGGUCAAUAAAUGGCGGAAUAAAUCAUAAUAAUAAAACUCAGUGCUGAACGAAACGAUAAUUCGGUUCAAUGUCGAAGUGUUGCAAGUUUCACCCCUGUUGCAAGUUACCCCGUUUGACGGUAGGCAUUUGAAUUCAUUUGGUCAUCGCGUUUAUUGAGCUCAUUUGUCAAAAUGAUGGCCGAUAUUAUCUCAAGAAGCUGCUGCUGCUGGACUUCAAACUAAUUUUAAGAACAAUUCCAAGAACGUUGAUUGUUUUGAAUGGAACUGACCCUGGACAAAUUUGCGAGGAACGUGCGUUUCAUGGACUGUUGCGACGGUUCCGACGAUCGAUAUCGCGAUGCUGGUCAGCCAGUGUUUUGAAACCAUUAAUGGAAUAUAAUAGUUUAAUCCCUUAGUUAUUUGUCCUUCUUUCAAAAUAAACAUA